rnacentral:rRNA from 1 species
CAGCAGCCGCGGUAAUUCGUAGGGGGCGAGCGUUGUCCGGAAUUAUUGGGCGUAAAGCGCGCGCAGGCGGUCCUUUAAGUCUGAUGUGAAAGCCCACGGCUCAACCGUGGAGGGUCAUUGGAAACUGGGGGACUUGAGUGCAGGAGAGGAGAGCGGAAUUCCACGUGUAGCGGUGAAAUGCGUAGAGAUGUGGAGGAACACCAGUGGCGAAGGCGGCUCUCUGGCCUGUAACUGACGCUGAGGCGCGAAAGCGUGGGGAGCAAACAGGAUUAGAUACCCUGGUAGUCCACGCCGUAAACGAUGAGUGCUAAGUGUUAGAGGGGUCACACCCUUUAGUGCUGUAGCUAACGCGAUAAGCACUCCGCCUGGGGAGUACGGCCGCAAGGCUGAAACUUAAAGGAAUUGGCGGG